rnacentral:rRNA from 1 species
AACGAACGCUGGCGGCAGGCUUAACACAUGCAAGUCGAACGCAUCCUUCGGGGUGAGUGGCAGACGGGUGAGUAACGCGUGGGAACGUGCCCUUCAGUUCGGGAUAACCCAGGGAAACUUGGGCUAAUACCGGAUACGUGCGAGAGCAGAAAGAUUUAUCGCUGAAGGAUCGGCCCGCGCCUGAUUAGCUAGUUGGUGAGGUAAUGGCUCACCAAGGCGACGAUCAGUAGUUGGUCUGAGAGGAUGAUCAGCCACAUUGGGACUGAGACACGGCCCAAACUCCUACGGGAGGCAGCAGUGGGGAAUAUUGGACAAUGGGCGCAAGCCUGAUCCAGCCAUGCCGCGUGAGUGAUGAAGGCCUUAGGGUUGUAAAGCUCUUUCGUCCGGAACGAUAAUGACGGUACCGGAAGAAGAAGCCCCGGCUAACUUCGUGCCAGCCGCCGCAGUAAAAC